rnacentral:tRNA from 1 species
AUAUAUAUAAAAAUUAAUCUUGAUAUUUUCCUUCUCUUUCGAAUUUGUCAAACCCUCCUGGUUUUUCUUUAUAUAUAUAAAAAUUAA